AUGAACGCUGGCGGCGUGCCUAAUACCUGCCAGUCGCGCGAACAGACGAGAGUGCUUGCACUCUCUGACGUUCGCGGCGGACGGGUGAGUAACACGUGGGUAACCUACCUAUAAGACUGGGAUAACUUCGGGAAACCGGAGCUAAUACCGGAUAAUAUUUAGCUUCGCAUGAAGCAAUAGUGAAAGACGGUUCUGCUGUCACUUAUAGAUGGACCCGCGGUGUAUUAGCUAGUUGGUGAGGUAACGGCUCACCAAGGCAACGAUACAUAGCCGACCUGAGAGGGUGAUCGGCCACACUGGGACUGAGACACGGCCCAGACUCCUACGGGAGGCAGCAGUAGGGAAUCUUCCGCAAAGGACGAAAGUCUGACGGAGCAAUGCCGCGUGAGUGAAGAAGGUUUUCGGAUCGUAAAACUCUGUUGUAAGGGAAGAACAAGUACGUUAGUAACUGAACGUACCUUGACGGUACCUUACCAGAAAGCCACGGCUAACUACGUG
rnacentral:rRNA from 1 species